rnacentral:rRNA from 1 species
AAAAAAUAUUUUAUAUUUGAUUAUAAUUUAGAAAGAAUUAUGUUUAUUAUAAUUAAUUAGUAUUGAAGAAGAAAUUUAAUUAAAUAUAGAAAAGAAAAAAUUAUUUUUGUACCUUGUGUAUCAGGGAUUAUUAAAUAAAAAUUUUUUAUAUAAUUUUCUCGAAUUUAAAAGAGUUAAUUAAUAAUAUAUUUUAUUGUAUCAAAAAUAUUUAUAAUUAUUAAUUUGAAAUGAAAUGUUAAUCGUUUUUAAAUAUAUCUAGUUUUCUUAGAAAUAAAUUGAAUUUAAAUAUUAAUUUAUAUAAAUUUAAAUAUGUAAUUUUAUAUAAUUAAUAUUAAAUAUAUAAAGGGAUAAGCUUUUAUAUAAAAUAUUAAAAAUAUUGAAUUUAAUAAUAAAAUGUAGGAUUAGAAUUUUUUUUCAUUAAAAUAAUGUUAUAAUUAAUUAUAAAAUAAUUAUUAUUUUUAUUUAUUUUAAAUUUUAUAUAAGAAUAUAAUUUUAAAUUUUAAAGAAUUAGUAAUAAUGAUAUUAUUAGUAUAAUAAAUUGUAUGUAUAUAUUUAAAUUUUAAGGUUAUUUUAAGGAAUUCGGCAAAUAUAUUUUUUACCUGUUUAUUAAAAACAUGUCUUUUUGAUAAUAAUUUAAAGUCGGGCCUGCUCAAUGAAAAUUUAAAUAGCCGCAGUAAUUUGACUGUGCAAAGGUAGCAUAAUCAUUAGUUUUUUAAUUGAAAACUGGAAUGAAAGGUUUAAUAAAAAAAUGACUGUCUUAAUGUAAAUUUAAUAAAAUUUUAUUUUUAAGUAAAAAAGCUUAAAUUUAAUUUAAAGACGAGAAGACCCUAUAGAGUUUUAUAAAAAUUAGAUUAUUUUAAAUUUUGAAAUUUAUUAUUUAAAUAUUUGAAUUUUUAUUUGAUUGGGGUGAUUAAAAAAUUUAAAUAACUUUUUUUAUAUAUAUACAUUGAUAUAUGAAUAAUUGAUCCAUAAUUUAUGAUUAUAAGAUUAAAUUACCUUAGGGAUAACAGCGUAAUUUUUUUUUAGAGUUCAAAUUAAAAAAAAAGAUUGCGACCUCGAUGUUGGAUUAAAGUUAAAUUUUGGUGAAGAAGCUGAAAAUUUUAGUCUGUUCGACUAUUUAAACUUUACAUGAUCUGAGUUUAGACCGGUGUAAGCCAGGUCGGUUUCUAUCUUAAAUAAUUAUAUAAUAUUUUAGUACGAAAGGACCAAAUAUUAAUUUUAUAAAUUGAAUUAGAAUAAAAUUAAU